rnacentral:lncRNA from 1 species
AAAAAUCCAAAACUCAAUCAAACAAACUCCAAAAAUGAUGAAAUUUCAACCAUAGCCUCACAACAUAGCAAAAAGAAGCUUCUCCUAAGAAAUCAUCCCCAAAAGAUUUAUCAAUCAAAGGGAAUUCCAAAUCUUGUGAAGAGCACUAUUUUUUCAACCCUUAAACUUGAAUCACCCCGAUCUAUGAACUUGUGACGUUUCAAUAAAAUCCCUUUGGUGGAAAGGUUCAAAUCACGCCCAAGUUUAUUUCCAAACAAUCGGUUCGACUCAAAAUACCCCCCAACUCAUGAAUCAAACAAAAAUGUCAAGGGGGCAGAGAGGAAGAACAAGAACGUGAAGAACACAAACGGAAAUUGUAAAUCCAAAUAGGAUGGAACAAGAUAACAUGAAAUAGAUCUUUGGAUUACUACACCAUCUCCACUUAUAAGCCACACCUUAGCACAAUCAAUGCUAGGAUAGCAAAAAGAUCAAACAAAGAUCCACACGUCUCUCCAAAAGCCUCACACAAACAAAUUAG